GGGUUUCUCUCACACUGUCUGCAGGAUGGAAAUGUAGGACACAUUAAAAUGGGGGCAUUACAGGAUAAAGUGGAAAUGAAACUGGACAUACACUGCAAGAUGUCAAUUACACUGUAGAAAUAGCUACCAUCAACCACUGACCAGCCCAGGAGUGACCCCGCGAUGCAGCUCGGCCCACCUCAUUCAACUCAUCAUCCCUCUACUCCUGCUUCUGGUCGACACUUCAGUUACUCUAUUUCAUUAUCCUCCACUUACUUGUUAUUAUCACUAGAUUGCACUGUAUAGAAUUAAUCACUACUUGCACUGAUGCCGGCUACCUGGG